rnacentral:rRNA from 1 species
GACGAACGCUGGCGGCGUGCAUAAUACAUGCAAGUCGUACGCUUCUUUUUCCACCGGAGCUUGCUCCACCGGAAAAAGAAGAGUGGCGAACGGGUGAGUAACACGUGGGUAACCUGCCCAUCAGAAGGGGAUAACACUUGGAAACAGGUGCUAAUACCGUAUAACAAUCGAAACCGCAUGGUUUUGAUUUGAAAGGCGCUUUCGGGUGUCGCUGAUGGAUGGACCCGCGGUGCAUUAGCUAGUUGGUGAGGUAACGGCUCACCAAGGCCACGAUGCAUAGCCGACCUGAGAGGGUGAUCGGCCACAUUGGGACUGAGACACGGCCCAAACUCCUACGGGAGGCAGCAGUAGGGAAUCUUCGGCAAUGGACGAAAGUCUGACCGAGCAACGCCGCGUGAGUGAAGAAGGUUUUCGGAUCGUAAAACUCUGUUGUUAGAGAAGAACAAGGAUGAGAGUAACUGUUCAUCCCUUGACGGUAUCUAACCAGAAAGCCACGGCUAACUACGUGCCAGCAGCCGCGGUAAUACGUAGGUGGCAAGCGUUGUCCGGAUUUAUUGGGCGUAAAGCGAGCGCAGGCGGUUUCUUAAGUCUGAUGUGAAAGCCCCCGGCUCAACCGGGGAGGGUCAUUGGAAACUGGGAGACUUGAGUGCAGAAGAGGAGAGUGGAAUUCCAUGUGUAGCGGUGAAAUGCGUAGAUAUAUGGAGGAACACCAGUGGCGAAGGCGGCUCUCUGGUCUGUAACUGACGCUGAGGCUCGAAAGCGUGGGGAGCAAACAGGAU